GAUGAACGCUAGCUACAGGCUUAACACAUGCAAGUCGAGGGGCAGCAUGAUUGAAGCUUGCUUCAAUUGAUGGCGACCGGCGCACGGGUGAGUAACACGUAUCCAACCUUCCGUACACUCAGGGAUAGCCUUUCGAAAGAAAGAUUAAUACCUGAUGGUAUCUUAAGCACACAUGUAAUUAAGAUUAAAGAUUUAUCGGUGUACGAUGGGGAUGCGUUCCAUUAGGUAGUAGGCGGGGUAACGGCCCACCUAGCCUACGAUGGAUAGGGGUUCUGAGAGGAAGGUCCCCCACAUUGGAACUGAGACACGGUCCAAACUCCUACGGGAGGCAGCAGUGAGGAAUAUUGGUCAAUGGACGAGAGUCUGAACCAGCCAAGUAGCGUGAAGGAUGAAGGUCCUACGGAUUGUAAACUUCUUUUAUAAGGGAAUAAAACCUCCACGUGUGGAGCUUGUAUGUACCUUAUGAAUAAGCAUCGGCUAACUCCGUG
rnacentral:rRNA from 1 species